rnacentral:rRNA from 1 species
GACGAACGCUGGCGGCGUGCCUAAUACAUGCAAGUUGAGCGCUGAAGGUUGGUACUUGUACGAACUGGAUGAGCAGCGAACGGGUGAGUAACGCGUGGGGAAUCUGCCUUUGAGCGGGAGACAACAUUUGGAAACGAAUGCUAAUACCGCAUAAAAACUUUAAACACAAGUUUUAAGUUUGAAAGAUGCAAUUGCAUCACUCAAAGAUGAUCCCGCGUUGUAUUAGCUAGUUGGUGAGGUAAAGGCUCACCAAGGCGAUGAUACAUAGCCGACCUGAGAGGGUGAUCGGCCACAUUGGGACUGAGACACGGCCCAAACUCCUACGGGAGGCAGCAGUAGGGAAUCUUCGGCAAUGGACGAAAGUCUGACCGAGCAACGCCGCGUGAGUGAAGAAGGUUUUCGGAUCGUAAAACUCUGUUGGUAGAGAAGAACGUUGGUGAGAGUGGAAAGCUCAUCAAGUGACGGUAACUACCCAGAAAGGGACGGCUAACUACGUGCCAGCCGCCGCAGUAA